AUUGAACGCUGGCGGCAUGCUUUACACAUGCAAGUCGAACGGUAACAGGUUAAGCUGACGAGUGGCGAACGGGUGAGUAAUGCAUCGGAACGUGCCCGAUCGUGGGGGAUAACGCAGCGAAAGCUGCGCUAAUACCGCAUACGAUCUGAGGAUGAAAGCGGGGGACCGUAAGGCCUCGCGCGAUCGGAGCGGCCGAUGUCAGAUUAGGUAGUUGGUGGGGUAAAGGCUCACCAAGCCAACGAUCUGUAGCUGGUCUGAGAGGACGACCAGCCACACUGGGACUGAGACGCGGCCCAGACUCCUACGGGAGGCAGCAGUGGGGAAUUUUGGACAAUGGGCGAAAGCCUGAUCCAGCAAUGCCGCGUGCAGGAAGAAGGCCUUCGGGUUGUAAACUGCUUUUGUACGGAGCGAAAAGGUCUCCUCUAAUACAGGGGGCUCAUGACGGUACCGUAAGAAUAAGCACCGGCUAACUACGUGCCAGCCGCCGUAAUAC
rnacentral:rRNA from 1 species